rnacentral:misc_RNA from 1 species
AACGCACAUUGCGCCUAAUGGUAUUCCAUUAGGCAUGUCUGUUUGAGCGUCAUUUUACAACUCCUUCAACGAAAAAAAGUUGGUUAUGAGUUCUGUUUUUGCUUAACAGGCUUUAAAGUUGUACGCUCUGCAGGCUGCUUUGCCAAACCAAAACAUAGUACCUAAUUUCUUUGUUUCUAGUAAGGCUUUGCAUGCUCUGCCUGAAAAAUCUUUCUCAAAGGUUUGACCUCAGAUCAGACAAGGAUACCCGCUGAACUUAA